GGUCCAUUGGUCAAGCGGUUAAGACACUGGUUUCUCAGACCAGUAACGAGGGUUCAACUCCCUCAUGGACUA
rnacentral:tRNA from 1 species